rnacentral:rRNA from 1 species
UUGAACGCUGGCGGUAUGCCUAACACAUGCAAGUCGAACGAGGUAGCAAUACCUAGUGGCGGACGGGUGAGGAAUACGUAGGGAUCUGCCUUUAAGUGGGGGAUAACCGGGGAAACCCGGAUUAAUACCGCAUGAUCUCGCAAGAGCAAAGAGGGGGACCGCAAGGCCUCUCGCUUUUAGAGGAACCUACGUCGGAUUAGCUAGUUGGUGAGGUAAUGGCUCACCAAGGCGACGAUCCGUAACUGGUCUGAGAGGAUGAGCAGUCACACCGGAACUGAGACACGGUCCGGACUCCUACGGGAGGCAGCAGUGGGGAAUAUUGGACAAUGGGCGAAAGCCUGAUCCAGCAAUACCGCGUGUGUGAAGAAGGCCUGCGGGUUGUAAAGCACUGGAAGUUGGGAAGAAAAAGCUUCACCGAAUACGUGGAGCCGUGACGGUACCGACAGAAUAAGCACCGGCUAACUCUGU